AGUGAACGCUGGCGGUAGGCCUAACACAUGCAAGUCGAACGGCAGCACAGUAAGAGCUUGCUCUUACGGGUGGCGAGUGGCGGACGGGUGAGGAAUACAUCGGAAUCUACUUUUUCGUGGGGGAUAACGUAGGGAAACUUACGCUAAUACCGCAUACGACCUACGGGUGAAAGCAGGGGAUCUUCGGACCUUGCGCGAUUGAAUGAGCCGAUGUCGGAUUAGCUAGUUGGCGGGGUAAAGGCCCACCAAGGCGACGAUCCGUAGCUGGUCUGAGAGGAUGAUCAGCCACAAUGGAACUGAGACACGGUCCAGACUCCUACGGGAGGCAGCAGUGGGGAAUAUUGGACAAUGGGCGCAAGCCUGAUCCAGCCAUACCGCGUGGGUGAAGAAGGCCUUCGGGUUUUAAAGCCCUUUUGUUGGGAAAGAAAAGCAGCAGGUUAAUACCCCGCUGUUCUGACGGUACCCAAAGAAUAAGCACCGGCUAACUUCGUG
rnacentral:rRNA from 1 species